AGUGAACGCUGGCGGUAGGCCUAACACAUGCAAGUCGAACGGCAGCACAGUAAGAGCCUGCUCUUACGGGUGGCGAGUGGCGGACGGGUGAGGAAUACAUCGGAAUCUACUUUUUCGUGGGGGAUAACGUAGGGAAACUUACGCUAAUACCGCAUACGACCUACGGGUGAAAGCAGGGGAUCUUCGGACCUUGCGCGAUUGAAUGAGCCGAUGUCGGAUUAGCUAGUUGGCGGGGUAAAGGCCCACCAAGGCGACGAUCCGUAGCUGGUCUGAGAGGAUGAUCAGCCACACUGGAACUGGGACACGGUCAAGACUCCUACGGGAGGCAGCAGUGGGGAAUAUUGGACAAUGGGCGCAAGCCUGAUCCAGCCAUACCGCGUGGGUGAAGAAGGCCUUCGGGUUGUAAAGCCCUUUUGUUGGGAAAGAAAAGCAGCAGGUUAAUACCCCGCUGUUCUGACGGUACCCAAAGAAUAAGCACCGGCUAACUUCGUG
rnacentral:rRNA from 1 species